rnacentral:rRNA from 1 species
UGAGCAAUCUGCCCUUCACUUCGGGAUAACUCCGGGAAACCGGUGCUAAUACCGAAUACGACCACCGAUGGCAUCGUCUGGUGGUGGAAAGUUCCGGCGGUGAAGGAUGAGCUCGCGGCCUAUCAGCUUGUUGGUGAGGUAAUGGCUCACCAAGGCGGCGACGGGUAACUGGUCUGAGAGGAUGAUCAGCCACAUUGGGACUGAGACACGGCCCAGACUCCGUAGGGAG